CAUGGAGGAAGGGAGUCCUUAGCCCAGAUUGCAAGAGGGUGCAGGCCAGGCCAAGGAACCCCAUCAGUGCAUG
rnacentral:pre_miRNA from 1 species